rnacentral:rRNA from 1 species
CCUACGGGAGGCAGCAGUGGGGAAUAUUGGACAAUGGGGGGAACCCUGAACCAGCGAAGUCGCGUGAGUGAUGAAGGACUUCGGUAUGUAAAGCUCUAUCAGCAGGGAAGAAAAUGACGGUACCUGACUAAGAAGCCCCGGCUAACUACGUGACAGCAGCCGGGGUAACACGUCGGGGGCAAGCGUUAUCCGGAUUUACUGGGUGUAAAGGGAGCGUAGACGGGGUAGCAAGUUGGAUGGGAAAGGUCGGGGCCCAACCCCGGGACUGCAUUGGAAACUGUUGGACUGGAGUACAGGAGAGGUAAGCGGAAUGCCUGGUGUAGCGGUGAAAUGCGUAGAUAUUAGGAAGAACACCAGUGGCGAAGGCAGCUUACUGGACUGUAACUGACGUUGAGGCUCGAAAGCGUGGGGAGCAAACAGGAUUAGAUACCCCAGUAGUC